CCGAGCCUUCAAAGAACUGACCAUCCACGACCACAGACAUGACGAAGCUCUUGGCAUGGCUCUCCCCGCUCUCGGAGAGGAAGUCAUACUUGAGUCCUGGGCGCAGUUCGUUCAAGAUCAUCACGGGAUUCUUCCCACUCGGGGGUGGGAAUGGUGAAUGCCUCCUAAUGCAGUAAGAAGACAGAGCUGGGAGGUGGUGAGUGU
rnacentral:lncRNA from 1 species